UUUACGACUCUCGUUGACGCGUAUUCUAACGACCGCGUCUCCCCGCGAUAGUACGAAUUUACACAUGAUGUCAAUGCAUCAAACAUCUAGAUUCGCACCUAAUAUAUUGUUCGAAAUCCAAUGCUGAAAAUGAUGUAGCAGUAAAGAUCAUUUGCCACAAGCAAAGAUUGAUAAAGAUUAUACGCCAGUAAGAAAAAGUUAUUAGCACCUUCGUCAUUCGGAAGGAUAGCGGAAGCUCUCCGCGGUCCCUCCAAAAAAAAUCUGGAAAUCUUCAUAGACACCUUACCACCUUGUGUGGGCGGCAGAAGGUAGUGCCGGAUUCUUACCGGCUAAAACCUCCACGGACGGGACGGGUAACCAGUGCGCGAGUUGUCCUCGGGCCCCUGAGUGCUUAACAAAUUCAAGCACCCAUCAAAACUUACUAAGGUGCACUCCCAGAAGAUACACCUACAACAUACGACAACGGCGGGGCCCACCAGUUUUGCCUGUUGCUCGGGUAUCUCAUACUUAUCUCAUACUUAGCUCUGUGAAAUACGGUUUCAGAUGACUAAUGGUUAUGCAAAUUCUUAAUGCCGAGGAUACGAACUCGCCACGCCAGGCGACGCCAUGAGUUCUGGGCUUUAACGCGCGUAGCUGGCUGUCCCGCCGGGGUUACAGCACAUUGGAAUGUAUUUGACUCUUAAUGUGGCAAUGUCUAUCAUAGGAAGUAUUCUAAUUAGCCUCUAGAUGUAUUAUACAUUAUUAUACAUUAUAUGUUAUAAUUAUAAUUAACUAUAUAUAUAAUGUAGUAUCGUGAAGAAAAAACCUGGUUAGAAACUAAGCAAAACAAGCUCGUCUGUCCUUCGGUUAUUAGUUUACAUAGAAAAAGCGUGUGUGGCCAAAGUAACCUAGUUCUUGCGAAGCGUUAACAGGAUGGAAUUAGAGAAAGGGAAAAAUAGCGCUAAUGGAGGGGAACGAUUCGAAUCCAAGGAGCGGUUAAUCGACCCAACGGAAAUUCCGACAACCCGCAUUGCUAAAUCACCACCAAUAUAAAUAGAUGCGUAAAUAAUAGACCCCCUCAUUGAACCGCUAAACAACACGGCAGGGGAAGAUAACUAUAUUAUGAAACAGAUAAAAAUAGACCAGGUGAAUGUGCAAACCAACACCCCAGACACAUUCAGAAAAGUGACAAGAUCACUAAAGAAUGAAGAUGCAGGGUAUCACACCUACCAGCUUAAAACCGACAAAAGCGACAAAGCAGUAAUCAGGGGAUUACAGCCAAAAACAAACACCGACAAUAUAAGCGAAGAACUAGCAAAAAUCGGACACCAGGUAAGGUCAAUAAACAACAUAAACAAGUAUGAUACCAAACAACCAUUACCGCUAUUUCUAGUUGAACUAAAACCUAGAGACAAUAACAAAGACAUAUAUGAUAUAACAAAAUUACUAAACACAAUAGUAAAAGUGGAGCCACCUAGACAUAAAAAAGAUAUCCCACGGUGCAUAAGGUGUCAGCAAUGCGGCCACACAAAAAACUAUUGCAAUAUAACCCCGGCAUGUGUUAAAUGCGCAAAAAACCAUUUAACAAUACAUUGACCAUACACGUGAAAAAUAGAGAAAGUUAGAUGCUAUAACUGUAACGGAAACCACCCAGCCAGCUAUAAAGCGUGUGAAGCCAGGAAACAAUUACGACGCAAACUGUUCCCGCCGCUACGAAACAGGACAUACACUAACGUACAAGUGCAACAGGACAGCACAAAAUCCGAGACAAUACCAAAUACAGAGCACGCAAUAAACAUUAAACGCAUCAGCACCAACACCUUUGGUAGUCGAAGCUACGCGCAAGUAAUCAGCCAAUCGACAUCCUCUGACAACCAAUAUCACAACAACAGUAGCAACGGCACUACAGAAAUCAAAGAACUUUUCAAACAAUCCAUCAAGAACACCGAAAUGCUAACCAAAAUGAUAAGCGAAUAAAACGCAGUUCUCAGACAGCAAACGCAGAUUGACGCAAAGUUUUGACGGGAUGAAACUCCGCGAUAAAUUCAGGCGAAACGAUGCGAAAUAAGAGCGAAGCUUAUAAUGGAAAUAUGGUUUGCUUGUCUGUUGUCGUAAAAUGAGAUAUACAGAAUAUAUUAAAAAAUAUAAUACAUGUAAUACGAAACUUCGUAUUAUUCGUGUUAUUAUGGAUACAAUAUCAUAAUAUGUUCAUAUAUUUAAAUCUCAUUCGAAAGAGAUUAUUAUAUGUCGAACACAGUUUAACUGUAUUUUGAAUUCUUGUUCAUCAGAUCACAAUUGAUAAGUCGAUAUUAGGAUGAUUAUCCUCAUUUGAUACAAGUUUGUGACUGCUACAUGUUAAUAUACUUUACAUCUUAUGUACAUUUUAAAUAUGGUACGCAAAAUCAAAGUUGCAAGGAACAUCAAUAAGAAUUCAAUAUUUCAAUAACGCUUUUCACGAUUAUAAUUAAAUAUUUUUCAAAAUGUCGCAUGAGUGUUACAUCUAGCACCCCCACACAAAAGUUUACCAAUUUAUGAUACAUGUACCAGUAGAUUAACAAGUUACGAUUUACAGAUAAUAUAGUACUCUAUUUUAUGAUUUUAUAAUUUCUCGUUAAAUAGGAUAAUGAAAUAACUUGCAAUUAGUAAAAUUUCAUUUGUUUUAUCGUCAAACUUGUGCAAGGGAAUAUAUUAAUACUGGUAACUUUAGUGACUUGCAAAAUUUCAAUAGUGCAAGACAGGGCAGAUAUUCAAUUGCAAUUGGCUACCAUCCAUAUUUUCGUCGGUCUUACAAUAACCUUAUGCUAUCAAUUAUGAAUUAAAAAGUUAUGAAAUUACAACUCACCCAAGGCCAAUGGUUAUGACUUCUUUUCGAAGAUCCAUCGAAAUCUCGAGUUUGUUUUUUCAGACAUCCAGUUAUCACAAAACAUAAACACCACUCUAUUACGGUCGACGUAAACAAAAGAUGAAAGAUGAACAAAAUAUUCUUUAAAUUCUCGGGCACAAAUACAGGCUUACACACUCCCUGCUUUAAAGUCACAGUCUGUCGUUGAACUUUCGCCAAGUAACUUGAUACGUACAUAUACACGUCUCUAGAAAUCAGUUUUCGACGAAAAUACAUACGUGAUAUGUUAUGUUGCAACCGAACGUGAAUUUUUCGCGGGAAAUACCUCGAUAUGGUUUAUAUAUGCGUCUCUCAAAUGCGAAUUUUACUAUACGCUUCGUUUAAGGCACGCCAUUUUGCAAAACGAUUAUCGAAAGAUGACUGCUUACAUCGAUCGAGAUCGAGAAUAGAUUCGCAGGAAGCUGGAUGCCGCGAUUUCUUCCCGCUCUUUACUUUUUUCCGGAGCUGUGAUUGGUUGAUUUCCUGCUGCCAUAUUUCGCCGAGAAUUAUUUAGUUAUUUAAUUUAUUUCAUAAUAUUAUUUAACAUAUAUCGUGAAAAGUUCUGAGUAAUCGGAUUCUUUUGUUAUCGUUUCAUCGUGUAUUAGCAUUAUCAGCUCUCGGUAUCGAAUUGACAAACGGAAUUUUUCUCACACAAAGUAAGUCACAUUAAGUAUAUGUAUAUGUAUAGUCGAAGCAAUGCAAUUAAAAAUUUUUCUAUUUUAAUUGGAAUUACUUAUCAAAAUACAGACAUUUUACCAAGCAUUUCUUUUAUAAAUCUUAUAUAUAUAUACAUAUGAACGCACACACACACACAAUACAAUAGAAAUAAUUUUGUGUGCUAUUAUACGCAGUUCGAUAGUUUAUAUUUCACGUGUCCCGUGUUGCACCCGCGUUGGUUUCGUUCCUGUCUCUAACGUAUAAAUGUAGCGUCAGUGAUUCGCGUGACGCGACGUAACUUUCAACGUUUGUUUUUCUCCGUUUAUGCGUCGUGUGUUCGUUUGAAUGAAAAUAUCCCGAGUGUUGUAACAAAAACCACGGAAAACAGAAGAAGAAUACGGGAGCAAAAGGAAUUCCAGGCUGCAGCAGAAUGCCUAUUGUCUAGCAGGGUUUCGUUCCAUGGUAUUUCAACGGGGACCCGACCCUUUUGGUUGACCGCGCCAUACCCCGAGUAAGAACUUAUACUGGCUUCUACCCUCUAGCGCCCUCCGCCCAGGGAAUGACUCGCAUACAUGAGGGCUGCGCGAGUUGGAAAAACCCUGCCCUCACCUUGCGGCUCAUUGAACGAGUUGAACCGACUCUUUCGGGCGGCAGCUGGCUUAGCUGACGUCACACGAUGCAUUGCGUCGCGUCUUACCAGGAGGUCACUGCGCGGUGGCGGAGCUGCCAGCAUAUAGCUCGGUCCCAGCUGAUUGGCUCUCCGGCCGAUUAUCCCUGCACCGUCGCGACACCUAUUUGGGCACCGCCUGCACCGACAGUUCCAGAUUUCCUCUCCGGCCACACGUUUUUUGUUUUGCACAAUUAAUCUGACGUCUUUGAGUAAUUAUUCUUCACAAUGAAAAUGCUCGAUUUAAAUACUUGAAAAAUAAAUGAGAAUGCCGUUGUAUAAAUGCGUUAAACAAUAAGUUCAACUUCUCAUAAUUGGUAAUUUAAUAAAUUCGGCAAAAUGAACGCGGCUCGUUAUUUCCUCGAGCAUCGAUGGUUUCCCAAUAUCCAACGAUCCACUCAAAGAGAAUAGAAUUUGAAGAUCACAAGGGAACAUAACAAGUUCAUUUUGUCGCACUUUGGACGUUACUUGGCACGUAAGUUGGAAUGUCCCGUGUCGUACGUUUGGAUAGGCGAAGAUCAAAUUAGGUUCUUUCCGUGGUUUUCAAAUUCUGCCAUUCUGAAAAUUGAUCUUUGCGUGCUUGGAAAUUGGCGUUUAAAUAAGUAACGAAGCCGUGUUUCCCUUAUCGACAUCCAUAUACUAUAUCGAUCAUGUUAUGGUUACAUGUUGUGGUUUGCAUAUAAGUUACCUCCAGUCGUCUCGAUGUUCUCGCGUGAAGCGCUUCGCUGAACAGGCUCAAAGUUCACGUUUCUUAGAAACGGAGGUAAAACAAGGAGGUACGUAGCAAGAAAUGAUGAAGAAAUGGAACAAAUUAUUAUUAAAAGAUCUAUAGAUAACAAUGGGAGUAGACAGCAUGCCAGCAGGGAAUAUAAUUAGAAUAACCAAGUAGAGAGAACUAGGAGAAUAUCAUACAUGUGCAUGGAAAUUCCUGAUAUUCUAAAUGUAACUCAGUGAGAAAUGUUAAUGAUUUGGAAUAAUGAAUUACAGUGCGUGAAUAAUUUUAAAUUUAUAAGGUUUGACAAGAAAGAUUUAAACAAGGUAUUAAAGCUAAGAAAAAGAAUGAAAAUAAGCCAUGUUAGACUAUCCAAAUCUCUAUUAGCUGUGCCUGUAAACGAGAACAAUUUAUUAAGUAAGAUUAAGUAAUUGAUUCAGAUGAAAAUAAUCAAUCGAUAGAAUGUAUAAUGGAAAUAGAAUAAAUGCUGUAGAUAUACGUCGUUUUUAUUUUCACCUCUAUUUAAAAAGAAGAAAACAGAAGAAAAGCGAACAGUUUCGUCCUUUUUUGUUUGCGAAAUGCUAGAGACUGCAUUUAUACUAUAUAUAUAUCAAUCGUAUAAAUAUACGAUGCAAUAUUUAACUUAAUAUGACGAAACUAUACGUAAUUCUAUGGUUUCUCUAAAAAAUACCAAGGUAGAACUAGACGUAAUUCAAUAAAAAAUCAUUACUUUUAGAGAGAGUUCAAAUAUCUUCAACGUUUUUUUAUUUUAAAUAAUUGUUUUCCUCGAGCUGUAAAUAGAGUUUUGAACGAUUCGAUAAAAUAAUAAAUACAUUUUCAAUUGAAAUUAAAAUAAAAUUUGAAAUAUCUCAUAUAUCAUAUGGAUUGUAAAUUAUCGACGAGAACAUGGCAGCGUCACUAAAUCUUUGUCAACAACUUUUUGUUUUCACGAGAGCUCUACAAUACCAGACACGUGCAAACACAUAUACAAAACAUAUCCUUGAGUGUUCCAGGAAUUUGACGAAUCCUAUUCGUGUAUAUACGGAUAGCCGAUAACUCUAGCCCCCUACUCCCCCCUAACCCAAACUCGUCGGUGCGGGAUGUCAGUCUGGCGUAGACAAUCAGGCGAAUUAGACGUAUAUUCAUCCGUGGCUUUGGCACUUUGAUUACUAUUAUUUGAUACCGAGGGAAGCUUUGAUGCAUUAGAGGGAUGCUGUGAAAUUCGAGAGGACGGGAUGAAAGUCAAAAGGACACCAUGCUCCGGUAGUACUGCGAAAGAAGUCCCGGGGCAUUCCUGAUGAGCGUCAAGCGGUCCACCGUAAGGUUUUAGUCGGUAAAGUCGGACACUACCCCGCCGAUUCUCAGAAGAGCAGGGAGGUUUCUUCCUUGUGAAAUACGAAUUGGAUAUAUUAAAAAUUGAGUGAAAGACGGCUGGGCAAUCCGCCGCAUCUUUGUCAGGGACAAGCGAACGAACGUUUCAGUUUUAGUGGACACUGGUGCCGACGCAUGCGUCUAUCCGCGCAACAAAGUACGUGGACCCGCUAACAAAAGCGACUAUGAACCUGAUUGCGACUUCACCUGAUCACCUUCAUCUAUCCUUUCGUCGAGCCUUCAAGUGGUGUUUUGUAGUGACUGAUGUGCAAACGUCUAUUUCCUCAGCCAUUCCGGGUUACUCGUUGACCCACGAAACAAACGAUUCCUGGACACGACUACACAACUAUCCACAAGGAGAUUCGCUGCCACGCUCGACGUAGCGUCCAUUAAAACUAUCAAUGUAGAGCCAACGUACCACAAAAUAAUGGCGGAGUUUCCUGACCUAACGGACCGCCGACGCAUGGAACCCCCACCCACGCCAAACCACGCCUCCUCGCUCCCGAUCGACUCAAGCUGACGAAGGCGGGAUUCGAAGUCAUGAUCGAACAAGGCGUGAUGCUGCUAUCGCGAAGCCCGUGGGCAUCACCCUCGCACAUCGUACCCAAAAAGGAUGGGAGGAUUCGACCUUGUGGCGACUAUCGGGCAUUGAACGCCCGCACCAUUCCGGACAGGUACACACCGCCGCACAUAGAGGACUUCGCGCAGGAUCUGUAUGGUAAGCGUAUCUUUUCUGAAAUAGAUCUCGUUCGCGCUUACCAUCAAAUUCCGAUCGCGCCGGAGGAUGUAGAAAAGACAGCGAUCACGACACCUUUGGUCUUUUCGAAGCGACCAACAUGAUGUUUGAACUUCGAAACGCGGCCCAAAUGUGUCAGAAAUUCGUGGACGAAAUCACCAGAGACCUCGAUUUCGUCUACUCAUACAUGGUCGAUCCUUUGAUCGCAUCCGAACACCGCGAACACUUGUGGAUUUUGUUUAAGCGCAUUGACGAGUAUGGGGUCGUAGUAAAUCUCGCGAAAUAGAAUUCCUCGGUUACACAGUAACAGCCGAGGGGAUAAAACCAUUAGCCGAACGCGUCGACGCUAUAAUUAAAGUACCGUUACCCUCAACAAUUAAAGACAUACGAAGGUAGCCCGGUAUGAGCAUCCUCUACCGACGUUCCAUACCGGGGGCCGCGCGAAUUCUUCAACCACUCAACGACUUGUGGAAAGGCACAAAGAAGUGCAACGCGUCCAUUGAGUAAUCCGAUCAAACCGAAAACAGCUUCCGCGACUCGAAACGCGCUAUAACUGACGCGAUUUCAGGCGCGUCCGUUAGACUCGCGGUCGACGAAUCUGAUUACGCCACAAGUGUGGUACUUCAACAGCGCGUCAACGAUUCUUGGCAGGCCUUAGGUUUCAUAACGAGAUCGCUAUCCCCCGCGCAACGAAAGUACAGCGAAAGUCCGACCGAGAGCUACUCGCGAUCUAUACGGAUCACAAACCCCUGGUAUACGCCUUUGGCCAAAAUCUCGACAAGUAUUCGCAAAGACAAUUGCGUCACCUCGACUACGUCAGACAAUUUAGGACCGAUAUGCGAUACAUAAAAGAUCAGAGAAUAAUGUAGCCGGUAAUGUAGACAAUAACUCUAUCCCGGAUCGAGGUGAUCGGGAAAUCCAUAGAUCAUCAAACGUUAGCCUCAGCGCAAGUGAAAAAAGUACGAUUUCCCGAUCAAGACUUCCGAAUCUACUUUCCCAUCCGGGGAUACGUCCCACGCAAAAAUUGGUGCUAUCCAUUAACAAAAAUUGUCAAACGUGGAUACGACAAUGUAUACCGUGCGAACGGAAUAAAGUUACCAGACACGUAUCCUCACCAGUUGAACGUUCAAAACGUUAGCAGGUUCGGACACAUACACUUAGGACAUUAACAGCAUGCAAUAUUCACAAGGUUAUUGUCUAACGUUUAUCGAUCAUUUUUCGCGUUAGCCCGAAGCCGUUCCCAUCGUCGAUAUGGAAGCGCCAACCGUUGCUUCGGUCCUUCUUUCGACUCGGAUAGCUCGCUUCGGGGUACCUUUAAAAAUCACGACCGACCAAGGACGCCAAUUAGAAACGCGACUGUUUGAGGAGUUAUGCCGGUUACUCGGUGUCGAGUAUCAUCCCGUGUCUAACGGGAUGGUAGAGCGCCUAUACAGACAACUGAAAGCGGCGAUCAAGUGUCAUGACACGAGCAACUGGGUCGAAAUUCUGCCGAUCAUUUUGCUGAGCAUCAGAAUCGCGAUAAAGGAGGACCUUAACGCAACGGCGGCCGAAAUGAAUUAUGGUUCCGGCGGCAUACGAUUGUCGGCGAAAUUUUUCUUACCAACAAGGCAGCGGGCCAAUGUGGAAUACGCGGACCGGCUAAAAGAACGGAUGGAGAAGGUCAGGCCAUACGCAGUUACGCGUCAUGGCAAAAAGAAAAUUUUCGUUUUUAAAGAAUUAGAAUCAUCGCCAUACGUUUUCUUGCGCCAUGACACGGUAGGAGGCCCCCUACAGCCGCAUCCGACGGGUCGUUUAAAAUUGUAAAAGCGGAUGAAAAAAAUUACAUUAUUAAAACCUUAGUUCCGUACGGACGGAAUACUUUUUUGCUAGAUUCAACUCUGU